UGGGGAAUUUUCCGCAAUGGGCGAAAGCCUGACGGAGCAAUACCGCGUGAGGGAAGACAGCCUACUGGGUUGUAAACCUCUUUUUUCAGGGAGGAAAAAAAUGACGUGUACCUGAAGAAUAAGCAUCGGCUAACUCCGUGCCAGCAGCCGCGGUAAGACGGAGGAUGCAAGUGUUAUCCGGAAUUACUGGGCGUAAAGCGUCUGUAGGUGGUUUAAUAAGUCAACUGUUAAAUCUUGAGGCUUAACUUCAAAACAGCAGUCGAAACUAUUAGACUAGAGUAUAGUAGGGGUAAAGGGAAUUUCCAGUGGAGCGGUGAAAUGCGUAGAUAUUGGAAAGAACACCGAUGGCGAAAGCACUUUACUGGGCUAUUACUAACACUCAGAGACGAAAGCUAGGGUAGCAAAUGGG
rnacentral:rRNA from 1 species